rnacentral:rRNA from 1 species
UGGGGAAUCUUGCACAAUGGGGGAAACCCUGAUGCAGCGACGCCGCGUGAGCGAAGAAGUAUUUCGGUAUGUAAAGCUCUAUCAGCAGGGAAUAGAAAAGAAGGUACCUGACUAAGAAGCCCCGGCUAACUACGUGCCAGCAGCCGCGGUAAUACGUAGGGGGCAAGCGUUAUCCGGAUUUACUGGGUGUAAAGGGAGCGUAGACGGCAAGACAAGUCAGAAGUGAAACCCUAUCGCUCAACGAUAGGCAUGCUUUUGAAACUGUGAUGCUAGAGUGCAGGAGAGGUAAGUGGAAUUCCUAGUGUAGCGGUGAAAUGCGUAGAGAUUAGGAGGAACACCAGUGGCGAAGGCGGCUUACUGGACUGUAACUGACGUUGAGGCUCGAAAGCGUGGGGAGCAAACAGG